rnacentral:rRNA from 1 species
CCGCGGUAAAACCGGUUACUCCUACGGGUGGCAGCAGUGGGGAAUAUUGCACAAUGGGCGAAAGCCUGAUGCAGCGACGCCGCGUGAGGGAUGACGGCCUUCGGGUUGUAAACCUCUUUCAGUAGGGAAGCGGUACCUGCAGAAGAAGCGCCGGCUAACUAC